CCUACGGGGCGCAGCAGUGGGGAAUAUUGCACAAUGGGCGAAAGCCUGAUGCAGCAACGCCGCGUGAAGGAAGACGGUUUUCGGAUUGUAAACUUCUGUUCUUAGUGAAGAAUAAUGACGGUAACUAAGGAGCAAGCCACGGCUAACUACGUGCCAGCAGCCGCGGUAAUACGUAGGGGGCGAGCGUUAUCCGGAUUUACUGGGUGUAAAGGGAGCGUAGACGGUUCUGCAAGUCUGAAGUGAAAGCCCGUGGCUUAACCGCGGAACGGCUUUGGAAACUGUGGAACUGGAGUGCUGGAGAGGCA
rnacentral:rRNA from 1 species